rnacentral:misc_RNA from 1 species
CCAAACUUGGUCAUUUAGAGGAAGUAAAAGUCGUAACAAGGUUUCCGUAGGUGAACCUGCGGAAGGAUCAUUACCAAAUGAAAAUGGAGGAAUCAUCCUUAACGGGGUGGAUUUCAUCCUAAUUCCUAUCCAUCCUCUGUGCAUGUGAAUGAACUGUUUGCUUUGACGGAUUUUUUGGGGGAAAAAUCGUCCUCGCUCCAGCUCGCAGCUCGCGGGCUGGUUGCUUUGGGGAGGAUAUAUCUUUCAGAUCCGUCAGGGUUUUUUUAAAUCCUAUAUAUAUGUUAUUAUCAUCAAAAAAAUAAUAAUAAUAAUUUCUAUACAACUUUCAACAACGGAUCUCUUGGCUCUCGCAUCGAUGAAGAACGCAGC